rnacentral:rRNA from 1 species
UACGGGGGGAGCAAGCGUUGUUCGGAUUUACUGGGCGUAAAGGGCGCGUAGGCGGCCACCGCAAGUCAAUUGUGAAAUCUCCGGGCUUAACUCGGAAAGGUCAACUGAUACUGCGGGGCUAGAGUGCGGAAGGGGCAACUGGAAUUCUCGGUGUAGCGGUGAAAUGCGCAGAUAUCAGGAGGAACACCGGUGGCGAAGGCGGGUCUCUGGGCCGAUACUGACGCUGGGGAGCGAAAGCGUGGGGAGCGAACAGG